GCGCAUCUGGUAGGGUAUUUUCGUUUGAGCACCAUAAGGUCUUAUUAGUUCUGUUUCUAAGGAUGCGCUAUAUUGGUGUCAUUGUUCUUUUGUUGUGCCUUGAGAUGAGUCUCUUUGUGUUCUCUUGGGGUGCCUUGAGAUUGAGUUAUCUGUGCGGUGUUAUUCCCCAGUAUUGGGUAUUAUACAUCCUUACAUCAUCGACAUUAGAUUGCCUACAUAAUGGAUGGCUGCUUGGUCAUGCAGUUUGCGCACUGGACUGUCAUUUGGAUUUAUUGAUGGUCCCGGGUUCAAACCCUGCCCAUUCCUAUCCACCGUCGUCCUGUGGGAGAUUUGGACUAGGAAGUAAAUUAUCUUCAACUCUGAAGGAACAUCCGAAACAUGUAAAACAUUUUACGAACAUAUUAAAUUGAACCCGGUGUAACCAGAACAACAAUGUUACCUUAUAUUGUGUGAUGUUGCCCUUGGUUUAUUUCUAGGAUGAUAAAUAGAACGCAAAAAAAACUGGGGGAUAAAAAAAAUGACUAAAAAAAAAAAAAAAAACAUUAAGCCACAUUAAUCUCUUGUAUUUUAUUAACAUUUGUAUGUAUAUGUACAGAGUUUUCAAACUUGACAAGUAGAGCCCCUAUACAGCAAACUGUAAACAAUAGUUUAUGUUUGCAAAGUAUUACACAAGUUCAACAAAUAAACACUAUUUACAUUGUAAAUUGCAAUAAAACAGGAACAUAUGUACAUUAUAAAGGAUAUAUCACCAGAUCAUUAUGAUAUUCAUAUGGGUAAAAAAAAAGGGGGGCAAGGGAAAUGAAAUGACCAUAUAUGAUCCAAUUUACUGUACAGGCACAAUGUAGAUGGUCAGAAACAAACACUUUCAUCAUAUGUACAAUCAUUGUCAAAAUUUUCAUUAUGAAAAAAAUUUUCACUCAUAGUUAAGCUUCUUAUUCAAUUCACGCAGAAUAGAAAAAUUCAACUCUCAUUCACGGACAACAAUCAAGACUCAACUGGAAAACAGAUUUGUAACUGUUUUACUCAUAACAAUCUUAUAAUUAACAAAUUAAAUCCUAAAAAAUAAACA